rnacentral:tRNA from 1 species
AUUUGUCUAGUAUAAUAAGUAUAUUUGACUUCCAAUCAAUAAGUCUGGAAAAUUCCAGGACAAAUA